rnacentral:lncRNA from 1 species
AAACAUUAACUGAAUGAAAACGGGUAGUCCUUGUUCUGCUUGGGGGGCUUUAAGGAAGCAAAUGGACUUUCAGAACAGAGAUUGUCAAUAAAGGUGUUGUGCCAUGUUAAAGACCCUCUUGUCAUUUUUAUUAUUCAUGGAUGGACGCUAAUUCUACAAGUCAGUUUAAGCAUAUGGAACUUCCUGAGCCAGGGAUGGAACACGAGUUGUCCAUGACAUGACACAGCUACGGCAAACACUGGAUCCUUAACCCACUGUGCUGGGUCGGGAAUUGAACUGGUGCCUCCACAGAGACAAGCUGGAUCAUUAAUCCAUUGUGCCACAGCAGCAAUCCACAUUGGAUUUUCUUCGGGGCCCAAUGUUAUAUAUGAAAUCCUUUGCAAACUAUGAAGUAUAUUUGUGAGAUGGUUUUACUGGAAACAGUAGGACACUAGAAACAAAUACGCUAUAGCAAUAUCAGCCACGGGCAUAAUAGUUAGUGGUUAAUUGAUACUCUUUAAGUCCUGACACAACCACCAUGCUGAUGCAGAUACUCUUUAUUAGUACACAGGAAAAUCAGAUCAUUAUCUAAGGCCAACAAGCUCCUCCUUGAGAUGUUCUGCCAUAUAAUCUGGAGGAAAUACUGUAAGACUUUGUCAGCACUGAGUCAUUUGCACUGGGAGUCUUACCAGAAAAAAAAAAUCUUGUCUUCUCAGAAGGUUGUUUACUGUUCUAUUCAAAGAUCAAUUUGUCAUGUCAACACUUUCUCUAAUACAAUGGCAAGUGGCAAGAACAAACUGUACAGAAUCCUGUUUCCAAGUAAGCAAAAGUGCACUGUGGGGAAGACUGGUAUAGCCUAAGCAGGUAUUAUAAGCAGAGACAGAUAGAUACGGGUUAAAGGCAAAGUUUUUUGCCUUACGAGAUCCUAGAAUGAAGGUGACAUAGAGGGGACACAAAAGACAUAUAAUUAGAUAUAAAUGUUACCUUUACCCCAAACUCAGUCUUUCCUUUCUACUGACCACUUAGGGCUCAAUUCACUAAUCUCCCACUUUAAUAUACAUUUGAAUUUUACCCCCCACUUCUUGAGACCACUUAUCUCAAGAAAGAUGUUACAUGACAGCUUUUAAGAUGCCAUGGUACAGAAACAAUUAAGUAUGCACCUGGUCCAUUAAAAGUGGCCUAUAUAAGAAAUAAGAUAUUCUACAGAAUUCUAUAAAUCCUGCUACUGCCACUCCCUGCUCCCUGGUAUCUGUUACCUUGUUUGUGUCAAUAGUCGCAGAUCCUAUGUUCCUGUUCUUACCUCAGUCUUUGGCAUUUUCUGUGUAACCCCUGGUAAUCAUAUUUAGCAGCCCUCCACCACACCCCUCAAUUUAAUGCUCCUAUUCUUUACUGGUGCUUUCACUGCCUUCCUCCUGAAGUCUUACUUUACCCUUCCCAUGUUUUAUGUGGUCUGACAGCUAUGUCUCAUGUCUUCUUUUAUCUAUGCUAGCAUAUGUAUUUGGUCAAUUCAGAAAAAUAAAAGUUUAUUUUAAUAUGCA